AUUGAACGCUGGCGGCAUGCUUUACACAUGCAAGUCGGACGGCAGCACAGAGACGCUUGCUUCUUGGGUGGCGAGUGGCGAACGGGUGAGUAAUAUAUCGGAACGUACCGAGUAAUGGGGGAUAACUAAUCGAAAGAUUAGCUAAUACCGCAUAUUCUCUGAGGAGGAAAGCAGGGGACCUUCGGGCCUUGCGUUAUUCGAGCGGCCGAUAUCUGAUUAGCUAGUUGGUGGGGUAAAGGCCUACCAAGGCGACGAUCAGUAGCGGGUCUGAGAGGAUGAUCCGCCACACUGGGACUGAGACACGGCCCAGACUCCUACGGGAGGCAGCAGUGGGGAAUUUUGGACAAUGGGCGCAAGCCUGAUCCAGCCAUGCCGCGUGUCUGAAGAAGGCCUUCGGGUUGUAAAGGACUUUUGUCAGGGAAGAAAAGGCUGUUGCUAAUACCGACAGCUGAUGACGGUACCUGAAGAAUAAGCACCGGCUAACUACGUG
rnacentral:rRNA from 1 species